rnacentral:ribozyme from 13 species
GAACGAAAGAUGAAAAAAAGAAUAAUUCCACAGAGAAGAAAACUCACAAAAUAGAUCAGAAGACUGGCCCCAUCUUUUGUUUUCCCUUUUUCACCU